rnacentral:lncRNA from 1 species
AUGAUUGAGCCCAGCAUUGGGAAUGGAGGACAAACUAUAGCAAAAUUAGACAUCAAGGUUUCUGUCCAGGCGGUUUACUCCAGAUACAAGAUCACACCAGCUUAUGACAUCAACUUUGGUCCAGUCGUCAAUGGCUGCAAGAAAACCCAGAGCUUUACCAUCGAAAACAGUGGAGUCUAUGAGACGUCUUUCACCAUCUCCCGCUUGAGCACAGACCCACUGUUAGAGAAAAGGCCGGGGGUUCCUGAAGAGAAUCCUUCAGGGAGACCAGCUGGUGCCAAUGCCAAAUUAAGACGAGAGUCUGUCCAGAAGGACGUGCAUAUUGCAC